UACGAAGGGGGCUAGCGUUGCUCGGAAUCACUGGGCGUAAAGGGCGCGUAGGCGGAUCUUUAAGUCGGGGGUGAAAGCCUGUGGCUCAACCACAGAACUGCCUUCGAUACUGGAAAGCUCGAGUCCGGGAGAGGUGAGUGGAACUGCGAGUGUAGAGGUGAAAUUCGUAGAUAUUCGCAAGAACACCAGUGGCGAAGGCGGCUCACUGGCCCGAUACUGACGCUGAGGCACGAAAGCGUGGGGAGCAAACAGG
rnacentral:rRNA from 1 species